AAGUCAUACAAAAUCAGGAAAAUCAUUUAUUCUGUUAAGCUUUUUUAUAGAGUUAACUCUUCACAUGGCUGCGGGCUGAAUCCAUUUGUUGUGAAUGAGCGUGGGUGAGAAGGAGUUAACAGAUCAGCAAGCUUUUCUUCUGAAACCUGAUGCCCUUGACAGGAGAGCUUUAGGUGAGAUACCUUGCAGGUCUCAGGCUGGCAGUCUCUGCUUCAUCCCUUCUGUUUUGCUGACACCAUGAGACAUGUGUUACUUUUCCUUCACUUGCCCAGCAUGUUCUAUUUCCAUCAUGCUAAUGGCAUUACGCUGUCUUUCUAGGUCAGAUUUGCAGCAUCAUUCAUCCAUCUCUAUUUCCCUCUCUGUCUCUCCCUCUCUUUUUCAUAUAAUCCCUCUAAAAAUCUAUAUGUGUCAGCCAUCCAGCAAGGGAAAGACAAAGACGGCGAGUUAAUUACCCAUCAUUUACUGCUGCUGAGAAGAACAGAUGGCUGCAGACGAUAUGUAAAUGAUAAUACCUGCAGCCAGCAAUAAAGCAGAAUUCUUCUGGGAGAUGUCAUAAGAUCUCUGGCACAGUCAUGCUGUGCCUCUUCCUUUGAGGUCUCUGAUGUCCAGAAUUGAAGCUCAUACUCCAAUGAAUGCCUGGGCCAAGGAAAUGGAAACUCUUCUGUUCCUAACAGAAAGCUGUCUAAUCAGGAAUCCCUCUCUGCUGCCAGCAGCACCUACCUUUGGAAGGCUGAGAUCAAAAA